rnacentral:rRNA from 1 species
AGUGAACGCUGGCGGUAGGCCUAACACAUGCAAGCCGAACUGCAGCACAGUAAGAGCUUGCUCUUACGGGUGGCGAGUGGCGGACGGGUGAGGAAUACAUCGGAAUCUACUUUUUCGUGGGGGAUAACGUAGGGAAACUUACGCUAAUACCGCAUACGACCUACGGGUGAAAGCAGGGGAUCUUCGGACCUUGCGCGAUUGAAUGAGCCGAUGUCGGAUUAGCUAGUUGGCGGGGUAAAGGCCCACCAAGGCGACGAUCCGUAGCUGGUCUGAGAGGAUGAUCAGCCACACUGGAACUGAGACACGGUCCAGACUCCUACGGGAGGCAGCAGUGGGGAAUAUUGGACAAUGGGCGCAAGCCUGAUCCAGCCAUACCGCGUGGGUGAAGAAGGCCUUCGGGUUGUAAAGCCCUUUUGUUGGGAAAGAAAAGCAGCAGGUUAAUACCCCGCUGUUCUGACGGUACCCAAAGAAUAAGCACCGGCUAACUUCGUG